UACGUAGGGGGCAAGCGUUGUCCGGAAUCAUUGGGCGUAAAGCGCGUGUAGGCGGCUCGAUAAGUCUGCUGUGAAAGUCCAGGGCUCAACCCUGGAAUGCCGGUGGAAACUGUCGAGCUGGAGUCCGGAAGAGGCGAGUGGAAUUCCUGGUGUAGCGGUGAAAUGCGCAGAUAUCAGGAGGAACACCAAUGGCGAAGGCAGCUCGCUGGGACGGUACUGACGCUGAGACGCGAAAGCGUGGGGAGCAAACAGG
rnacentral:rRNA from 1 species